GAGAAAGGCCAAAGGCAGUAAGUACUGCUAAUACUUAUACCCAUGGUUAAACUCCAUGGCUUCCUCG
rnacentral:tRNA from 1 species